CGGCCCACGCGCCUCCCGGUGUCCGGCGGGCCCGCUGGGGCAGCCCCCAGCCCACGGACCCGGCCGGGCACGCCCGGCGCAGAGACCUGCAAGUCCGGGGGAGGGCGGGACGGGAGCGCGCAGCCCCGGAUCGGUCUCGGGGUGGGACUCAGGAGAAACUGUCUUUGAGGCCCGCAGAGGACAAGUCCCCAAGACAAAGUGUCAGCCGGCCUCCGACAAGUGGCAUGUACCUGCUUCUUCUCACACGAUGGACGAGUCGAGCCGGGCACAAGCAUGGAGCUGCGGCAACCGCCCUGGUCCAGGCCACACCUGGCCCCAGGUCACAGCCUUCAUCACCUCCCUCCUCCAUCCUUUGGGUCUUCUGCUCACAGCCAGAGGGACCUUCUGAGAUCCCGUGAGGACCCACCUCCCUAAGAAGCUGGCUGCCUCCUCUUUCUUGCCAGAUUUCACCCAAUUCUACUCCUUGACCUUCUGGGCACUACAGUUGAGGUGCUGGCUGUGGAAUCCAGAAUUCUCUGGAUGGCUGUGGGGCUUUAGGACCUUCCACACAUUCUGACCCCAGCCCUGAGGCCAGGCUGGGCUGUGUUCUGGAACUUGGCAGCAUGGAUAACUCCCACAGCUCAUUGGCCCACCCCAUGGCGCCUUCCUGCCCAGCCAGGACCCAGCCUUCCCGCUACAGGAUACCAGUUCAGUGCUGAAUUCUGCCUCAGGCUCCAGGAAAAAUGUUGCUGCUCUGGCAUGAUGCCCUGCUGCUCCUUCUGCUCUGCUCUGGGGUGAUUGAUGGCUGUGGGUA